rnacentral:rRNA from 1 species
AAUGUUAAUAGGAAUAGUUAAAUGUAAGGAUAAUUGGUAGCUUAUUUCUUUGAUAUUGGUUUCAUCUGGUCGGUAUAUAGAUAUUCUAUUCACGAAAACUUGAGGUGUGACAGGGAUUAGAUACCCCAUUAAUUCAAGUGAUAAAUCAUGGCUUAUUGUAGACUGGAUCUAUUUUUAACAUGUGAUCUUUAUCAACUUAAGGAGGAGGCUUUCAUUUUGGAAACUUAAGUGUUCUGGUGGUGAUUUAGAACAAUAGUGGAAUAGAUGAUUUAAUUCGAUAUUAUGCGAUAA